UACAGAGGGGGCAAGCGUUGUUCGGAAUUACUGGGCGUAAAGGGCGCGUAGGCGGCCUUCUAAGUCGAACGUGAAAUCCCCGGGCUCAACCCGGGAACUGCGACCGAUACUGACAGGCUCGAAUCCGGGAGAGGGAUGUGGAAUUCCAGGUGUAGCGGUGAAAUGCGUAGAUAUCUGGAGGAACACCGGUGGCGAAGGCGGCAUCCUGGACCGGUAUUGACGCUGAGGCGCGAAAGCCAGGGGAGCAAACGGG
rnacentral:rRNA from 1 species